rnacentral:tRNA from 1 species
GCAGAUGUGGCGGAAUAGGCAGACGCGCCAGAUUUAGGUUCUGGUGGGAGACCGUGUGGGUUCAAGUCCCAUCAUCUGUA